UACAGAGGGUGCAAGCGUUGUUCGGAAUUAUUGGGCGUAAAGCGCGUGUAGGCGGACCUGCAAGUCGGGGGUGAAAGCCCGAGGCUCAACCUCGGAACUGCCUUCGAUACUGCGGGUCUCGAGUCCGGGAGAGGUGAGUGGAAUUCCUAGUGUAGAGGUGAAAUUCGUAGAUAUUCGCAAGAACACCAGUGGCGAAGGCGGCUCACUGGCCCGGUACUGACGCUGAGGUGCGAAAGCGUGGGGAGCAAACAGGG
rnacentral:rRNA from 1 species